rnacentral:sRNA from 1 species
UCUCAUCUCCACAACUCGUGAGGGGCGC